GUGAGAGUAACUGUUCACGUUUCGACGGUAUCUAACCAGAAAGCCACGGCUAACUACGUGCCAGCAGCCGCGGUAAUACGUAGGUGGCAAGCGUUAUCCGGAUUUAUUGGGCGUAAAGGGAACGCAGGCGGUCUUUUAAGUCUGAUGUGAAAGCCUUCGGCUUAACCGGAGUAGUGCAUUGGAAACUGGGAGACUUGAGUGCAGAAGAGGAGAGUGGAACUCCAUGUGUAGCGGUGAAAUGCGUAGAUAUAUGGAAGAACACCAGUGGCGAAAGCGGCUCUCUGGUCUGUAACUGACGCUGAGGUUCGAAAGCGUGGGUAGCAAACAGGAUUAGAUACCCUGGUAGUCCACGCCGUAAACGAUGAAUGCUAAGUGUUGGAGGGUUUCCGCCCUUCA
rnacentral:rRNA from 1 species